CAUAUAUGUGACAUUAUUUUACUUUUUUUAUUUAAAGGGCCAUGAUAAAAAAAUUUUACGAAACAUUGUUCCCAAACUCUUGAUUUCGGUUUAACGUAGAGACUUUAAUUAUGUUUCCUCGCCCCGUUUUAAAUUUAUAUUUAUAUUUUAAAUUUUGAUGAAUGUUACAAAUUGUCUGAAUAAAGUUGAAUAAUGAUCACAUAUUAACCGCCACUUUCGGAACUAUCUCGUGAAAAUACAUUGACUGUUUUUGUAUUUAACUGUCAGAGGUUGGUUUGAACGACUUAUUUAUCUACAUAUUUAAACGUGUUGAAUGUCAAUGUAGUGAUUACGGUAAGAUUUACGUGGUGAACGUAAACGCAACAUUAAAGGUUUCCUCUGGCGCUGGACUGCAGAUUCCACCCGACAGAACAACACUCCCCUCCUGUGUCUCCAUUCUUAAUAGCAGCAGGGAUUUCUCACAGAUUCGUUAAUUAAAAAUAAUAAUAAUUUAAAAAAAACUUUUGGUGAGUUUUGUGUGUGAAUGAACGGUGUAAAGACAGACCAUAAAGGGCUUUACAGAGCUUGUACAACUUUUCCUAAUUUGAUAGCAUCGAAGUGUUUUAUACACAACUUGAAACUGUGCGGGGGGUUAUUGUCAACAGCUGUCGUUAACGGGCCUAAUGUAGAUGUGAACAAGAAAAGACGUGUAAUGUAUUACAUCAAAUACCACAUUCACCCAACUGGUGGAUGUUAUUGUUUAAGUAGUUCGAACAAAUCUCAGGUUCGAACAAAUCUUAAAUCCCUAACAUCCCUACACAAAUGAAGUGGCCCAGAAGGAUUAUAUUACGGCGCAUGCGCAGCGGUGACUACGGUUUCCUUAUACCUGGAAUUGCUGCUGUCGGGUGAUCAGGAGUAGUGGCUUUUAUUUCUCGAUUGGUUUUUGUCCAUAAAGACAUUUCGGUAUUUUAAUGCCCAGUGAGUAACGUCUGGUAGAAUCGUGUGAACUCUGGCUGACAGUCGAUCAAGUAAAUCGCCAUAUUUCUUGUACCACGAGGUAACUCCUGCUAAUCGUCGCUAAUGUCAGUACGAACAAUUGACUUGAGCUUUUGUUUGCAACGUAAUAUAUUUUAAUAAUUUAAUAUUUCAUAAUUUAUUUAUACAUAUAUUUUUUAAUUUACUUUCGGUUUGGUUCCGCUUAAAGUUGUGACUCCAGAAAUGACAACCCAUAUUCCGUGUUUUUUU